rnacentral:rRNA from 1 species
CACGUAGGGGGCAAGCGUUGUUCGGAAUUAUUGGGCGUAAAGGGCAUGUAGGCGGUUUUGUAAGCCUGGUGUGAAAUCCUGCAGCUUAACUGUAGAAUUGCAUCGGGUACUGCAAGACUUGAAUCACAGAGGGGAAACUAGAAUUCCAGGUGUAGGGGUGGAAUCAGUAGAUAUCUGGAAGAAUACCGGUGGCGAAGGCGGGUUUCUAGCUGAUGAUUGACGCUGAGGUGCGAAAGUGCGGGGAGCAAACAGG